CUCCCGCCGCGAAGCGCCGCGCGCGCCGCAGUCGCCUCACAGCGCCGGCUCUGAGGCGACGGGGCGGCGGCGGGCUGCGGGCUGAGGCGCGGCGGGCAGCGGCGGGCAGCGCCGCGGGAGGCGGCUCCCCGCACGCUCCGGCUCGGGCGCCGCAGGGCGCGCCAGCAGCAUUUCCAGUGCUGCGACGGGCUCUGUCGGCGGUGUCCGUGACAGAGGUGUUCGUAACGGUGUGGCAGACUGGAACACAUGAGCAGCGCUGCCGGCUAGCCGUUAGCAGAGCCGAGGUGCCGACUGUGCAGGGCAAGAGUCUGAGAUUUAUUUGCACAUGAAAGUUAUUAGAGAAUAUGAAUUUAAAUAGAAUAGCUGUUUUCCAGAAUAAUGCCACGUGUGGAAAGUCUUACUACAGAAAUACACCACCUUUCAUCUUUCCACACUAUGCAGAUGAUAAGGAGCCUUCCUUUCUUGUGGAAAUGUAUCCUUGUUCUGAAAAUUUGAAGUUCUUAUCAGUUGUGCUAGCCCCAAUUCCUGAAAAAUAAUGCCAGAGAUAUUCAGUGAUGUGUAUUUUGAUGGAACAUCUCAAUGAAUCAUUGCUGGAUUUCCUGGAAUCUGGGUUGCUUAUUAUUCUGAACAAUUCUUCUUCGAAUAGAUUGCUGUUGAAAUCAGUCACAUUCUGAAUCAUUAUCACUGGUGAAAAUGUGCAGAGCUGGCGUUCACAAGUACUUAUGCUGGAGGAACCUUACGGAAUUCCACAAGGACAAAUGCGCAGUGCUGCACUUGAGAAGGAAGAACUCCUUCCAGUGAUACAGGCUGAGGAUGGCCUGCCUGGGGGCAGCUCUGCUGAAAAGGCCCUGGGGGUCCUGGUAGACAGAAGCUGGGCAUGAGGCAGCCGUAUGCCCUGGCAACAAGGGUCGACAGCGUCCUGGGAUGUAUUAACAGCAGCACAGCCAGUAGUAGAUCAAGGGCAGUGAUUACCCCCCUACUUGGCACUCAUUAGACCAUAAUACUGUGUUUUGGGGCAGUUUGGGGGCCCCCCAGUACAAGAAAGAUACCAGUAAACUGGAGCAAGUUCAACAGAGGGUCGCUGAGAGGCUGAGGGAAUGGAGCUUGUUGAGCCUGGAGAAGAGGCUUCAGAGGGGCCUCAUAGUAGCCAUCCAGUGCAGACAAGAAGGUUCUCAAGAAGAUGGAGCCAAGCUCUUCACAGCAGUGCAUGGUGGGAGGGCAAGAGACAACAGGCAUGAGCCGAAGCAACACAGUUUCAGAUUGGCUGUAAGGAGAAACUUUCAGUGUGAGGACAGUCGAGCCAUGGAGCAGGUUGCCGAGAGAAGCUGAGCAAUCUCCACCGUUACAGAUUUUCAAGACCAGACUGGAUAAAGCUCUCAGUAACCUGCUUCUGACCCCGUAGCUGACCUUGCUUUGAGCAGCAGGUUGGACUAGAGAUCUCCUGAAGAGCCUUCUAACCUGAAUUAUCCUAUCACUCUAAAACGGAAAUACUUCUUUAUCAGGGAAGGCUCAUGCUACAUUAUUCUCACUUUUGUUGUCAGCAGACACUGAUAACCUGUUUUCAGCACAUCCUGAACAAGAGCCUUACUUUGUGCCACUGCAGUCAGCCAGACUUUUUUCAUUUCCCAUGUCCCUGGUACAAAUCAGAAAAAGAACUAAAUAAUCCCAGGCAUUCUUCUCUUAUUGGUGGCUGUGGUGGUGGUAAGAGCAACAGUAGUGGUAAAAUCAUGCAGAACAAAUGGGAGUCUGUGGCUCUUCGUGGGUCUGUGAGCCAGAGAAAUGCCUUAUAUCCCGGCUAUGUUGGCUAUGCUCUAUGUUUCUGUGAGGAUCAGUAACAGAAAAAGCUGUCAUAACAAUUUGAUUGAAGACCUUAACACUUACUUGUCCAGUCCUUUAAUUCUUACUCGAGGUCAUGACAUCAGUUUCAACAGUGCUAUUUUGCCAAUUGUAUAACGUAAUAAACGUGGCAUCAAGGUAAUUAGAAAUAGAAGAAAAUACAGAUUAGUUAGAGAAGGACAAAUAUUGAAGUCUUCACUUACACAAAACCUCCACUGAUGUUUCAGGAUCUCACACAUUAUGCAUGUGCAGAAUUUAUAAUAAAAAAUAUGUUAGUAUCAAUCCUGUGCUUCAAGGCACCAAACUGAUCUUCAGCUAAAGUUAAGUAUAUCUUCCUCUUUUCUAGUAUCGCAUAAUUAAGUGCAACAAGGUUUUUAACUCCUUCAAACAUCAGAAUUGCCUCGUGUCAGACGAUGGUUUGGAUUAGCUAUGCUAUUGGUCUGUUGCAGAACGGCUUUCUUCUAAUCACAUCCCUCUCUGUCAAGCAGGGAACUUUUAUAUUGGAAAAAUAAUUCACAAGCAGUGAAAGAAAAAAGUAAAUCUCAAGCACACAUAACUUUUGUACUGGAAUAAGUAUAUGCAGUUGCACAAACCACUCAGUCUUAACACAUGGAAAUUGGUACAAGAGACCUAUGUUCAUAUGUAUCAUUUUAGAAGGCACAUUGAAAGACAUUACUUGCUUUAUACUGCUUCCAACUCCAUACAGUAAGAAGUGCUUAAGUAAAGAUGCACCAACUGGUUUUCAUUUUUAAACCACUAUUUUGGUUUUUAAACAGAGUAUAUCAAUAUAAAAAUGGUGAAAACCUGACCGAGGUGAAGCAGCACAAAUAGCUGCUGUGAGAAGUGAACAGCUACUGUGGUCUGCAAACAUAGGCAUCUCGGGCUCAAACUCAGGAGAAUGACAUUAGGGCACUUUUUCUGCAACUGCUUUUAACUGUGGGCAAGGAGGCUCCUGGCAAUCUGCUUCAUUAUGUAAAGUGAAUCAUGGACAAGAGGAAUGGCCAAAGUGGUAUUUAUAGUGAAGGGCACAACAGUGAAGUAAAAUCUUAGAAGAAUCCCCCAGACCUCCUGGAGUUUAGAUGAUGACUCAGCUUGACAGCAACUGGUAGCAGGCCACCUGGUCAGGAAGAAGUGGAUGAGCCUUUCUUCAGACAACUGGAAGAAGCUUCACAUUCACAUGGGGGGACUUCACGGGGGACUUUAACCACCGUGAUAUCUGCUGGAAGAAUGGCACAGAAAGGCACA